UCGAGAUCCAUGCAAUUAUGGGCCCAACUUCAUGGUUGAAUUCUGAGGUUCCAUCCUUGAUAUCUAUGGCAAAGCCCGAAAGUCGAAUACUUUUAGAGGUGGGUAUGGUUUGAUUUAGGUUAGUUCUUGAUUAGUCCAAGAGUUGAAUAGAGUUGGUUGAUUUUAACUCAAUUGGAAUCGCUAUUAAACCGUCAUUUGUUUUUGUCCGGAUAGGACCGCGGAGUAUAUAUUUUUGGCUCUGUGCCAGUCAUGGGCAUAACAGAGUGACUUCUUCAGGAUUCGAACUUGGGUCCUAUAGGCUUUAAGGUUUAGGACGUUGCCCUCUUGGUACCAUCUGAGCUACAGCCCAGAUGGUACCAGGAGGAUAACCAAAAAGACUAAGUCUUGAGUUCGAAUCCUAGGGACGUCACCCUCCAAAGGCCAAAUAAACAAAUGGUCCCAUAAAGACUCUACGCUGUCCGGCCCAUUUCGGCUGUGACGCCUCUGUCCGGCACAGUUCGGUGGUACGGCUGGGCACCAGAGCAAAAAAGGCCGACGUUUAUGUUGGGACGUCAUUUGUUUUUGUCCGGGCAAGACUGUAGAGUAUAUAUUUUUGGUUCUGUGCUAGUCAUGGGCAUCACAGAGUGGCCUCUCCAGGAUUCGAACUUGGGUCCUGUAGGCCUUAAGGCUUAGGACGUUGCCCUUCUAGUACCAUCUGAG
rnacentral:lncRNA from 1 species